CUAUUACUAUAGUAAUACUAUUAGCAAUAGCUUUCUAAUUCUCCCUGUUAGUGGGUGUUAUUCAAAAAUAACUGUCACUAGACAGCCAAAGGAUUAAAGCAAGGAUAAUGAGAAAGGUGGAGCAGAAGAACUUUAAAUGCACCUCUAUGGACAGAAAUAUUGUCUUCGUGUGGGUUCCUUCAAACAUCCUUGUUACAUAGAGGAUGCUGGGAAUGCCUCCUACCACUAAGGCUUUUGAAGGACACCAGAACUGGCCAAAACAUUACAAAAACAUGUCCUUUCUAUUUUCUUGCUCCUCUCUAUCUGAAAUAUGAAAUAAUUUCCAAGAAAAGUUUACCUUCAAAGUUUGGAUGGUUCAGCAAUAAAAAAUAAGUAUUCUAAUAUUCAGUUCAUUUAGUGUAAUUUUUUUCUGUUCAUAAAUAAUCCCUAAUAUGUAAAAUGCAAGUCCAAGGAACAAAACAACAAAUACAACUUUAAAUGAGUGCCAAAU
rnacentral:lncRNA from 1 species